UUACGUCACCGGGCUAUCCGCAUUGACGAUAGCUGACUUUCUCAUGUGUUUGAGUCACGGCCCAAAACAUUGAAAAUGUAAUACUAUAUUUUAGGUGAAGAACUCUAUAAAGGCAAUAUAUUUGGUUCAAAUACGUAUACUUUAAAAAAAGUAUGCCCUUUUGUCGUGCGUCGUCGUUUACAGGAAUCGUUCUUGAGCUGAGGGGAUGUCACUUUUUUGAAAUUCCUUGGGAGGGAAUGGGUCCUAAAAAUGAAAGGAAAUCUUUGGAAACCAUAAUGUAAUUCUCGAUUGUGCUCUUACAUUUUGAAGAAAUAAGGAAUUCCGACAUUGUUUAAACAUCUAAAACGUAAAGCCUCAACAAAACUCCGCCAAACCCAUUUUCCUUCGGGAGAACAAUGCUGGUGCUAAGAAAAUUUAAUAAUUAAGGAAAUCUCAAUCAACUUUUUUAUUUCGACUUUAAGCUAAAAAAAAUCUCCACAAUUUCCGUAUCAUACAUACUUUAUUUCUUAUUUGGAACCUCCUACUUCCAAAAAUAGACUUAGUGGACAUGAAUCUAAUUUCAUCAACAAUAGAAGAUAUUUCUCCUGAGGUAAAACAUCUAAAGGAAAUAAAUACCAAGCUACAAAUCCAACUUGGAGUCUAUGAAGCAGAAAUAAAGGAAUUAAAGAAGAAGUUGAAGGAGAAAGAUGUCAUCAUUUGGGACGCAGAAUCAAAGUUUAAGUCUUUAAAAAUGCGCCUCUCUUCGGUAUUUAAUUCAAACCAUAGAGCAAUUUUAAGUUGUAAGUCUUCACAUUCCAAAAUCUGCCUAUGGUCUAAUAAAACCAUCGAGAAUUCACUUCAUUUAAGAUGCAUUGAGGAGUUAUAUGUUUUCCAAAUAAUCUAUUGCGCCAAGAAAUGUUUGGAUCAACUUUGCAAAAAUAGAGGCUUUAUUCAAAUCUUAUGUAAAUCCAUUCAAAAAAAUGAAAAAAAUGGUAAACUCAAUAACUGAAUAGCGGUUCCAUUAAUUAAUGGAACCGCUAUAAGUCUAAAAGUCGUCUAUAAAUGUCGCCAAAUGUUAGAAAAUUUUAUGUUUUACUCUGUCUUAGGUAUGUUAGUAUAAGAAUGCACAUAUAUUUACGAAUGCAAACUGCAAUUAUCAAAGAAAAUAGAAUAGCGUCUUCUACUUUCGGAAGACGAAGAAUGUGUAGGCCAAAUUAAAUAAGUUAAAGAAAUUAUUAUUAAAGUAAUUAUUUUAUUUUUUCAUAAUAAUUAAGCUCAAUAAAAUUUUUUUUUAGUGUUCAUCCAUUAAUUAUCCAUGUAUUAAGUUCUUUUUGGGCCAUUUGAUAUCUGUCACAAGGGGCGCUGAAAUCUCGUGAAAUAACUCUUCUUAUAGUGCUCUGGUUUAUACAUGAUACUUGGAGACAUAUCUUGAGUUUAUAAAAAUCAUUUUUCUCAAACAGCCUAUUACCUAAUCAACGGAAGAUUUGAUCAUUAUCACUAAACCUUUCUAUUGUCUGAAGUGUUUAAUUGAUAUGGCUUUAGAUAUAUUUUUUUCGAAAAAAGCGUUUAUGGAUAUUUUCUUCACAUUUUUUUAAAAACAUAAUUUUGUUGACCUUCGGUGUAAAAGUCCAUAAUAACACCUCAAAUGUUUCAUCAUCUGAUCAUAGCUCUUAUGUGUUUUAUGUACUGACGAAAAUAUAGGAAAUUCUAGUAAUAAAUAUUUAUCUUUUAAAGUUA
rnacentral:lncRNA from 1 species